rnacentral:rRNA from 1 species
AUUGAACGCUGGCGGCAGGCCUAACACAUGCAAGUCGAACGGUAACAGGAAACAGCUUGCUGUUUCGCUGACGAGUGGCGGACGGGUGAGUAAUGUCUGGGAAACUGCCUGAUGGAGGGGGAUAACUACUGGAAACGGUAGCUAAUACCGCAUAACGUCGCAAGACCAAAGAGGGGGACCUUCGGGCCUCUUGCCAUCGGAUGUGCCCAGAUGGGAUUAGCUAGUAGGUGGGGUAACGGCUCACCUAGGCGACGAUCCCUAGCUGGUCUGAGAGGAUGACCAGCCACACUGGAACUGAGACACGGUCCAGACUCCUACGGGAGGCAGCAGUGGGGAAUAUUGCACACUGGGCGCAAGCCUGAUGCAGCCAUGCCGCGUGUAUGAAGAAGGCCUUCGGGUUGUAAAGUACUUUCAGCGGGGAGGAAGGGAGUAAAGUUAAUACCUUUACUCAUUGACGUUACCCGCAGAAGAAGCACCGGCUAACUCCGUG